AGGAAAUUUUGCACAGGGUAGCCCCUUGAGGAAAGCCAUAGAGUUAAUGAAGCCAGGUUGCCCAGCAACAAUGUUACUCCCCCUGCCCUCUGGUUACAUCAUAAAUGCUUUUGUGCUCCAACCACAGGGACAACACAAAGAUCUGCCCCUACUCCCACACGGAUCAGAUCAGUUCAGUUCAGUUCAGUCGCUCAGUCGUGUCGGACUCUUUGGGACCCUAUGGACUGCAGCAUGCUACGCCUCCCUGUUCAUCACCAACUCCCGGAGUUUACUCAAACUCAUGUCCAUCGAGUCUGUGAUGCCAUCCAACCAUCUCAUCCUCUGUUGUCUCCUUCUCCUCCUGCCUUCAAUCUUUGCCAGAAUCAGGGUCUUUUCAAAUGAGUCAAGUUCUUUGCAUCAGGUGGCCAAAGUAUUGGAGUUUCAGCUUCAGCAUCAGUCCUUCCAAUGAAUAUUCAGGACUGAUUUCCUUUAGGAUGGACUGGUUGGAUCCCCUUGCAGUCCAAGGGACUCUCAAGAGUCUUCUCCGACACCACAGUUCAAAGGCAUCAAUUCUUCGGCACUCAGCUUUCUUUAUAGUCCAACUCUCACAUCCGUAUAUGACUACUGGAAAAACCAUAGCUUUGACUAGAUGGACUUUGUUAGCAAAGUAAUGUCUCUGCUUUUUAAGCUAUCUAGGUUGGUCAUGCUUUUCUUCCAUGGAGCAAGCAUCUUUUAAUUUCAUGGCUGCAUUCACCAUCUGCAGUGAUUUUGGAGCCCCCCAAAAUAGUCUGUCACUGUUUCCACUGUUUCCCCAUCUCUUUGCCAUGAAGUGAUGGGACCAGAUGCCAUGAUCUUAGUUUUCUGAACUAAAGGUCAGAAUACUCCAUACCUAAAAGUCUCGUUGGUUCUGGAUAGCCUUAAGGGGCCAGGGCAGGGCUCCUCUCUAGUCCUGGAAGAUCCCCAAGCCAGUGACUGUCCUGAGUCUGGGCAAGUCUAGAACGAAAACAGAAUUCUGACCCAGCUGGAGCAGGUAUAGAACUUUGGAACCAAGCUGAUCUCAUCUUACUUACUCAUGCCCAAGUCGGAGAAGGCAAUGGCGACCGACUCCAGUAUUCUUGCCUGGAAAAUCCCAUGGACGGAGGAGCCUGGUAGGCUGCAGUCCAUGGGGUCGCUAAGAGUCUAACACAGCUGAGCAACUUCACUUUCACUUUUCACUUUCAUGCAUUGGAGAAGGAAAUGGCAACACACUCCAGUGUUUUUGCCUGGAGAAUCCCAGGGACUGAGGAGCCUGGUAAGCUGCCAUCUAUGGGGUCCCACAGAGUCAGACACGACUGAAGUGACUUAGCAGCAGCAGCAGCAUGCCCAAGUAUGAGACCAGAAUGGCUCCUUUACUAUGAAAAUGUAAUCCUGAUGAGAGAACUAGGCUCAAAACCAUAUUCCACAUCCUGUGGAAGUCCAGAACCCUGCAGGGAUAUCUGGGAGCUCCAAGCAGCCUCUUUUCCUGUGAUCACCUCUGGCUCCUGCCUCUGCUUCUGGGCUGCUGUCUCAGUUCUACACUGUUUCAACCCCAGUGGGAAAUGUAGACCCUUAAUAUCCACCAAAAACCUUUGUAAUACUCCUGCACCAUUGUAGUAAGGCUUCCCUGAUGACUCAGAGGGUAAAGAAUCUGCCUGCGAUGCAGAGGACCUGGGUUCGAUCCCUGGGUAGGAAAGAUUCCCUGGAGAAGGAAAUGUCAACCCACUGCAGUAUUCUUGCCUGGGAAGUUUCAUGGACAAGAAGUGCCUGGUGAGCUACAGUCCAUGGGGUCACAAAGAGUCAGACAGGACUGAGCCAAUAACAUGUUCACAUUGUAUUAAACAUCACAGAAGCUGGAGGCGAGGUGGAAGAUUGAGUAAUCUUCACAAUACUGAGAUACUUCAAAUUGUGCGUUAAUGCAUUAUGCAUCUUAAAAUAUUCUUCGCCCACUUCCCUCCCCCACACACAAGUUGAUGAUUUUCCUGGGAGUCUCGGUUUCAGACUCCAUCUUGUAGGCUCUUCCCUGUUCUGCCCUCCUACCUCAUCCUUACUCCUCAGAUCACCCCUGAGAACCUCAAAUCUUCUCAAUCCAUUAUGUAGGGUUGAUCAGGGGCCCAGCAGAGUUUGUCCCCUAAGGUUCAUUCAUUCGUGCUCAUGCUCAGUCAUGUUCUAAUCGUUGCUACCCCACAGACUGUAGCCUGCCAGGCUCCUCUGUUUAUGGGACUUGCCAGGCAAGAAUGAUGGAAUGGGUUGCCAUUUCCUUCUCCAGGGGAUCUUCCCAACCCAGGGAUUGAACCAGUGUCUCUUGCAUUGCAGGCAGUUUCUUUACUGCUGAGCCAUCAGGAAAGCCCAUGUGUCAGGCUUAGUGUUACAGAUUUUAUGUGCCUUAUCCCAUUUUAAAAUCUAGAUGUCCAUAAGCGUUGGCCCUGUCCCUCCACCCUGCCCAGGCCUGGGAUAGCCAGUCCACCCCCUGUCUAGCUGACCUCAUCAUAGCCCAUCUGGCCAACCCACUCCCACAUUUGAACAGUGUCUGCCAAUGCAGAUGUCUGCCAGGUUGAGGGCUUCUCUUCUUUUGCCUUUCAUUAAGGGCAGCUAGCCCAGGGUUUCUGAACCUGGGCGCUAUUGUCAUUUGGAGCUGGAAAAUUCUUUGUUAUGAGGGAUGUCCUGUGCAUUGUGGGAGGUGAUACUGUGUUCCUAGAAGCUUGUUAUUUUUAAUGACAUUCUCUGGAAGAAUAGCAAUUCAGCAACCUUUUAAAAAUAUUAAUGCUAGUUCACAGAAACUCAAAAGUCUGAGAACCUUUGACCCCCAGCUCUCAACAUUUAUGAUUCUGAGUAUAUUUUUGAAGGAAGAAGUACUUAGCCAGCCUGCUGACCUUUUAAUGAGUUUCAAAUGAUGUCAUUGGAAUGUAUCUGCCUCACCAGCCUUCCUGGGAAGUAUCCAUUUCAAGGGGAAAGGCAGUUGAAUACUGGAAGAUGGGAUACAAAUAAGACCAGCAUUCUCACCAGCCAGAUAGAGGCAUGAACCACUUCUGCUGUUAAAUUCUGAAUUCCUCUUGGUGAGGGAACAAAUAAGAUGAGAAAGCCAAAGCAUGUGAAUAUGGAGACUUUGCAACCACGAAUCAUCUUCUAUCUGUGUGCUUAAUCUGGAUAUGUCAUGUAAAAGAAAUGACACAAUAUGUGAUUUUUUUGUCACUUUGGCCACCUGAUGUGAAGAGCUGACUCAUUGGAAAAGACCCUGAUGCUGGGAAAGAUUGAAAGUGAAAGGAGAAGAGGGCAGCAGAAGAUGAGAUGAUUAGAUAACAUCACUGACUCAAUGGACAUGAAUUUGCGCAAACUCUGGGAGAUAGUGGAGGACAGAGGAGCCUGGCAUGUUGCAGUCCAUGGAGUCACAAAGAGUUGGGAGUGAAUCAGUGACUGAAUAACAACAACUUGCACUCAGCAUAAUCCCUUUAAGAUUCAUCCAUGCUAUAGCAUUUAUGAGUAUUUUAUUCUUUUUUAGGACCAAAUAAUAUUCCCUUGCAUGAAUAUACAAUUUAUUUAUGCAUUUAGCAGAUGUUAGACAUUUAGGUUUCUCUGCUUUUUUGGCUAUGACAAAUAAUGUUGCUAUGAAACAGUGUGUACAAAUGCUUGUGUGGACAUAUGUUUCCAUUUCUCUUGAAUAUACACUUAUGACUACAGUUGCUGGAUUUUAUGGUAGCUCUAUGUUUAACCUUUUGAGAAACUACUAGGCUGUUUUUCAAAGCAGUUGCACCAUUUAACAUUCCACCAGCAGUGCAUAUGGGUUCUAAUUUCUCCACUUGCUUGCCAUUGCUUGUUUUCUUGAUUUUAGCCAUCCUAAUGAGUGUGAGGUAGGAUCUCUUUAUGGUUUUGAUGUGCAUUUCCCUCACAUCUAAUGAUGAUCUUCUUUGGAGAAAUAUCUUUUCAAAUCCUUUGUCUAUUUUUAAAUUGGG
ensembl:lncRNA